rnacentral:rRNA from 1 species
UACAGAGGGUGCAAGCGUUAAUCGGAAUGACUGGGCGUAAAGGGCGCGUAGGCGGGUAUAUAAGUUAGCUGUGAAAGGCCUGGGCUCAACCUAGGUUGGUCAUUUAAUACUGUAUGCCUAGAGAGGAGUAGAGGGCAGUAGAAUUCCCGGAGUAGCGGUGAAAUGCGUAGAUAUCGGGAGGAAUACCGGUGGCGAAGGCGACUGUCUGGACUUUAACUGACGCUGAGGCGCGAAAGCGUGGGGAGCUAACAGG